AAAUCCCCUCUGGAAAAUGGAGGGGCUGGCAUCGGGUUGCCCGCCCGUACCGAUCCGGAGGAAAGAGAAGUUAUUUACAUGUCACGGCCCCAGCGCCGUGAGGAGACACCGCCUGCUCAGCACUCCCCGCGAUCAGCCAUGUUCCUCUCCCGGACCCGCCGCUCGGCUACUCUACACUUCUCCAAAACCCAGCUGGAACGGAGGAGCCCAAAAGCGAGCUUGACAAAUGUCCAUCCUCAAACGGCUCUUUCCUAAUCCUUCACAUGGUUCCUGCCAAUUUUCUUUCUCUUCUACGGAGAGGAAAACAAAUCAAGAAAACAUUAUACAGCUAUCACUUAACUUGUAUUGAUAGAUACUUGCAAACCAGCCUGCCAGGGUAAGUAGUAACGCAACUACCUUUAUUCAGCUUCUCUUCGAAGCCCUCAAACAGCUGCUGUGUGAUGCUGUGCUUGUCAAUCUGUUAUGUUUCCUUAAAAUUUGUUUAAAUAUCAGACAUCUGCAAGACAGAGGUGGACAAAUUGACAACAAUCAUCUGUUUCAUCUGUCAAACAACAACAUGACCAUGCAUUAAGUCUAUUUCUCUUUUUUAAUCAAAAUCUUUGCAGUUACACUGAUUACAAUGGGACGUACUUAACCCUGGGCACCGUCUGCUGCGGACAGAAAUGUUCAGUGUUGCUUUAUCAAUACUGCUCAGAAAAAUUCUCAGUAAAUGCACCGAGGAACUUUAAAAGACCAUUUUACCUGUAAGAGUGAACAAAACAACCCCCAAAGCCCACCCGGAUUCACAGAGCACAACCUGCCCCGGCGCAGGGAGGGAACCAACGCUGCCUAUGGAACAUUCUCCCUCUGGGUGCCUGGCCUACAGGGAAGUUUUUAUCAAACCAAUUCUCCGCAGACUGAGAUAAAAUUUUAAAAAGAAAGCACCCGCGUGAAAAAAAACCUCCACGUGUUUACUCUGUAACAAGUGACUAUUAUAUAAGAGCCAUCGUGCCAUGUUAGUACAGGUACGGACACAUAAAUACAUUUAGUUACAAGGAGCUAUCGAGCUACCGCUUAUCAGCACAUCUCUGGUUGCCGUGCGGAGUGACGCACUGAGCCUGCUGCAAUGAGAAGGUUCAAUGUGUCAGUCUUAACCUUAGCAAAGAUGUAAACCUCAAUAUUUUAUUUUGCAGUAACGGUUGGCGAUUUUGGUCCAGCCAACAAGUGGUGAAUGGCUAAACCACUACUGAGACAUUAAUCCAUUUGCCUGUUCCCUUUAGCACUCAAAGCCUUUACCCAGGACAAGCCCUACCUGGACACACAUCUUUGUGUAGUUGAAACCUUCUUCUAACCAGCAUUCUGAGAUUAACUAAAAUAAAUUCCUCUUAAACCAAAGAAAAUGCCCAACAGCAGGGAGAUGCUGUUAUUUUUCAAACUGUAUUAAAUGAGUGGCUGUAUUUAUCCUCAGCAAGGCCAGAGCACCAUUUUUAUUGUAUGUCAGCUAUGCCAUAACUACCCAUUUAUAUAAGUUUCUGCUAAAACACUGUGCAGGUCCUUCUGAGAUUAUACCCCUGGAUGCACCAUAAAUUCGCCAACUUAUUUGUGCUGCUACACCUUAAACCUGUAGAUAUUUUCAAACACCUGACACUCGGUAAAAAAAUACAUGUUUUCAUGUACAGGGUAAUGGGUCACCUGACAAGUUUGUUGGCACAAACAAGUUGCAAUUUAAUAAUAGCUGGUAAUAAUAAUAAUAAGAAUAAUAAAUUACUCUUGGUACUUUUCCCUACUGUUCAUGUGACCCAGGGUGCGAGCUAACAGGUCUGAAGCCGUAUUAGUUGGGCUCAUUCUUCAUCAGAGCUUCGGAGCUUCAUUUACUCUCAACAUGCAAGAUGUGAGAUUUGGGGUUUUUUACUCUAAAAGCAUAUAAAAUACCAUUAAAAUCUCAGUAAGGACAAAUCCGUAUGUUUACUACAGCACAGUCGGACGUGGUCCAACACCAGUCAUGUUGAGUAACUACUACUUUGCCACACAAGCUGCCCAUAAGAUGCCACCAACAGGAGCGUACGAUGAGCCAAACAACUCCGAGUAGGGCUCAACAUUGGGCAGUGAUUCUCCUCGAGACCAAUCCCAACUCAUUUCUCUCCUUCCAGGCUCUGAACUGCGCUCGGUUCAGCUCCAGGUUGGAUCCCAUUGUGAACCAGACAAGGGGACGGGUCCUGCUAUGGGGUGACCCCAAGACCAAAAAAAGGCAAAGCAGUUCUGGCUGCAUGGACUCCCUGCCCCGAUGCACACGUCUCCAGAAACUGUUUAAGCCAAAAUUCUGCCAAGAAAAUGUACAUGGGAAAAAUGAGAUCAGUCAUCUCUCCCAAGGCUUUUUUUUUUUGUAAGCAACAGAAGCAAUGGAUUUAAUGAUUAAGAUAAAAACUUAUGUCUGUACAUAUGUUGGACUGUUUUCUUCCAAACUCCAACUGAUUAACUCAAGGAUACAACUCUCAAGUUAAUCAAGACACAUUUAGUGCAACACGCCUUAGCUGUUUAUGAUAGGCCCUAUUUACAAUUUCUUACUUUUGGGGACUGUUACUUCGCAGCAACCAAGAGAAACUCCAAUGUAUAUACAUCACCACUUCCAAUAUAUCCCAGUCUAAAUUUCAGGUGCGAUACAUCCACAAAUAAGAGACACAGGCUUCACAACAGGAAUGUGAUUUGGUUGCAACAGCCAGGUCAGACGUUUGAUUUGGUACUUCAUUGAUUUUAAAGUGUACAAAGGCGAACGUGCUAAGAAGCACAAAAAUGCGUUUGGCUUUUUAUAAUCAUUUGUUUCUUCUUAACUUCUGUUGACCUGCUCUUUUCAAGGUCUUCAAUGGGUUUCUAAUAAUAUUACAAUAGAAUCCUAAUAACAACUUGAGAUUAAUCCCUAAGUAUUUAGCUACAAAAAGACAACAAGCAGAAAAGGAAACUCAAAUAUUUUGCCUUAGCCUGGUAAUUCUACCGAAAUGUAAAGGCAAUUUACCUUCUAGCAGCCUUUUAUGCUUCCAUGCUAAAAAUCAACAUGAACCACCCUUUUCUGUGAAUCCAGUUUCUGUGUAAAUUCCACUUUUCAUGCCAAAGCACAGAUGAAACAGAAUUAGUUUGGCUUCUUUUUUUCUUAUUUCAUUUGAAGGGGUUUGGAAGCUCUUAGUUUCUAAGCUGGACUAAGGCAGCGUCUGGAGAUAGAUUCCAUUUCUAAAAGUAAUAAAUAAAUAUCCUUUUUUUUAA